AUUGAACGCUGGCGGCAGGCCUAACACAUGCAAGUCGAGCGAGCGGCGGACGUGUGCGUAAUUUAUGGGGCCUUCCCGUUAGCUGGGGAUCACUCCUGGAAACGGUAGCUAAUACCGCAUACUAUCUCAUAACCCAUAUGGGAUUCGCUAGUAGGUGAGGUAAAGGCUCACCUAGGCGACGCGCCCUAGCUGGUCUGAGAGGAUGAUCAGCCACACUGGAACUGAGACACGGACCAGACUCCUACGGAGGCAGCAGUGGGGAAUAUUGCACAAUGGGCGCAAGCCUGAUGCAGCCAUGCCGCGUGUAUGAAGAAGGCCUUAGGGUUGUAAAGUACUUUCAGCCGGGAGGCGUUACCGACAGAAGAAGCACCGGCUAACUCCGUGCCAGCCGCCGCGGUAAUUC
rnacentral:rRNA from 1 species